UUGAGCUCUUUGUAGGUGGUGACCCCACCUCCACUGUGAAGGCCCCUGUGAAUACUUCAUUGGCUCAUGUGCCAAUCAAGAGUGGACCGAGCCAGGAGGAGGAAAUCUUGGAUGAAGAAGGGGAGGGGAACCCAGAGGCAGAGGAUGGCUCCGAGGGCAGAGAUGCAUGCAAUCAGGAGCUGUUUUAUACCCUGGAGGAGCCUAGCCAGUCACAGCAGUCGGAUCUUGGCGAAGCGCAAAUAGGAGAGGAGGCCCCUGAGAUGACAUUGGGAGGUCAGCCUCCCUUAUCGGCAGCAGAACGGCUGUGCAGAAUUAGAAAGUGGCCAAGAAGAACUAAGGAGGACUUUGUGAGGUUAUGAUGCAUUCCGCCACUGAGAAACAGGAAUUGAAGGAGUGGCAGAAUAGCGAGAACAGGGACUGAAAGGAGAACGCGGCACACCAGAAAGAAGCCAUGGAGCGGCUCUUAAAUGUUAUGUAGCGCCAAGUGGACACGCUCAAGGUGAUACUAGUUCUUCAAACUGAGCAGCUCCACGCCCGCCCUCCCCUGCAGCUGCUGUCGCAAAACUCUUUCCCAUGCGCCCCCACCCCCAACACACUGUU